GAAUGUGGACCUACUUAUUUUUCAAUUGAAUGUAAUUGACUACCUAAUUGAGUGCCACCUAUGCAUUGGAGCCUCUUUUAAUUAAUACAAAAUUGAGGUUACAUCUUUUCAAAUGUUCCUCAAUUAAUAUAUAAGGGAUUGAUGCGGUCAAUAAUAUCUUACCAAAAUUGUAAGUUAUCAGUUUAUAUAUUUUGAUUGUCCGUGCAUACAAAGUUUCACAUUAACAAAAUUAUAUAUUUGCUUUCUUAACACAUAUUCGAAAAUAAUGGCAUAAUUAACUGAGGAGAGAUUCACUCUGCACACAAAAUAUAACUCAAGGUCACGUGAAUGAUGUGAACAUAUGAGCUAAAACAUACAGAUAAGAUAUGGAACGAUAACCGAAUCAUAGAAUGUAAUAUAACAAAUCAUAAUUUCAAAUAUAUGUUGUUUGAGUUGAACGGCUUCUCUAUUGUAUGAGUUACUUUUUAUUUUUGUUUCAGAAAUGUUAAACAAUAACAUGAGAUGUGCACAAGUGUGUAAAUUCAACGGUAGAGUUCGUGAGUAUUGUUCGUCAUAACAUGCUUGUAUAAUGGAGUAAGUGUCUUUGGUACGUGUAAAUUCAUUAGUUUAUCUUGAUGAAUAAGACUUCGAAAUGUUAAUGUCAAAAUGUCUCCAAGUACAAUGGAAUAAAACUUGGAGACAUCUUGGAUCCAAUUCCUUAGGAGAACUGGUGCCAAUAGGUGUGAUAGGAAGCUUAAGUUUAGUUGUAAAGAAUAUGUUUGUAUAGACCAAUAUGACAUAUCGUUUUGAACAGGUAUGGUAAUAAGCUUGAGUUUAAUUAUCGAGACUAUGCUUGUAUAGAGCAAUAUGACAUUAUUUUGAACCGAAAGACAUAUUGUCAUGAACAAACGUAACUACAAUAUAAUGUCAUUCUACUUAAUUGGGAAACGUUUUGUUUAUAUCGUAGGUGAGAAUGAAUAAGUCGAGUUCUUCUGCUGGAGUGGGUUCCAUUGUAAAACAUGUCGAGUCGAGCUUUAGAGAUUAUAUACGAAGUUGUGGUGGAGAAAACCGGUUAAGAAAGCUUGACGAUUGAAGUGAGUUAUUGACUUAUUUUAUGUACCGUGUAAUGUCCUAUGUUAAAGAAAAAAUGUGUAAUAGGUACCAAUGGCAAUACUUGUAAAUAUCCUAGUAAUUAAAGGCUUAUUAACUAAGAUUGAUGAGGAGAGCUGUGAGCUUGCCACAUCAGCAAAAAUGGCAAAAUUGUUAUUAAUCUACCAAAGCAAGGUUACUCUUACCAAUUGCUUCUCUAUUAAUAAUAAGGGGAUGAGAAAUCAUCACAAAAACUACGAGAAUCUUUGUGAUUUACAACAGCUGUGUGGUUCUUCCUCCUGUGAUCUCGAAAAUGAUUUAUAGGGGUGUCAAGAAUACGAUCUUGGAAGC
rnacentral:lncRNA from 1 species